rnacentral:rRNA from 1 species
UACAGAGGGUGCGAGCGUUAAUCGGAAUUACUGGGCGUAAAGCGUGCGCAGGCGGUUUCGUAAGUCGGGUGUGAAAUCCCCGGGCUCAACCUGGGAAUUGCAUUCGAGACUGAAUAGCUAGGGUACGGAAGAGGGAAGCGGAAUUUCAGGUGUAGCGGUGAAAUGCGUAGAUAUCUGAAGGAACACCAGUGGCGAAAGCGGCUUCCUGGUCCAGUACCGACGUUCAGGCACGAAAGCGUGGGGAGCAAACAGG